rnacentral:rRNA from 1 species
GACAGAGGGCUCAAGCGUUAGGCGGAAUCACUGGGCUUAAAGCGUGUGUAGGCGGAUCGUUAAGUGCCUUGUGAAAUCCCACAGCUCAACUGUGGAACUGCUUGGCAUACUGGCGGUCUUGAGCCAUCUAGGGGUCGCUGGAACAAACGGUGGAGCGGUGAAAUGCGUAGAUAUCGUUUGGAACGCCAAUGGUGAAAACAGGCGACUGGGGAUGUGCUGACGCUGAGACACGAAAGCCAGGGGAGCAAACAGG